CGUAAACAGCGGAGAGAAAGCAGCAGAUCCGGUCACUGCCUUCCCCAGCCCUUUCGGCUCCUUGCAAAGAGCGAGACUCUUCCAUCGAGUGUUUCACUCCAAGCCCAGCACUUCCCAACUCCUGCAGCUCUGGCGCCCUGAAGGGACUUGAUGAGGAAACCUAGCUCCCCAUCACUGCCCCAGCAGUGGCUGCUUCGCUCACGAGCCAGGUGCAGGUGGCUCCUGUCUCUGUUAAGGACGUCCCUGUCUGGGCUGCUGGUGCUGUGGAGACUGAUGUGGGUCAGUGCAGCGCUGGGAUCAUGGCUGGAGAGCGGCAGCGACGCUUGCGAGGGGGAUGGCAUGUGCCCGCCUGUUUCUGACCUGGAGCAGCCAGGGGCAGGCCCUGGGGACCUACAGAGGCUGCAGGAUGCCAGCACGGCCGUCCUGGAAAGGCUCAUGGAGCUGGAGGCUGAAGUCAAGUACAUCAGCACUGAGCUGCGGGCAGAGAAAUUACUGUGGAGCAGCAGGUACCUGGAGCUGCUGAGGGAGCAGCAGGAGCUCCAUCAACAGUUCCAGGAGUGGGGACGGAGCCAGGGGCCCAAGGCCAAGGACAUGCAGAGCAAAGCCGAGGCUCCUAGUCUGGAUGGAACUGAUGGGUGGUGCAUGGGAGACAGUGGCCUCCGGAUGCCGCCAGCACCUGGCUGCCCAGGGCCCAGCCACACCCUGGUACCCGGGCAGCCGUGCCAUGUUCACCACGGGCCAUGCACCUCGGGCACAGAACCAAGGUCCUGCUGCAGUCAGGCGGGAUUGGUGUGGGCACCAUCCGGUACCUGGGGGUCUUCCCCGACCAGGCCGAGUUCUCCGUGGGAGUGGAGCUAG
rnacentral:lncRNA from 1 species